rnacentral:lncRNA from 1 species
CUUGAACACUUUUGCUGAUGAACUUGACUUCUGCCUUCAAAGCGAUUUUAACGAGAGGAGGUGCGGAAGACCUACUUAAAACCUGAGAGUCUCGAAUAGGAGAGGCGCUUUCAGAUCAGCCCGAGUCUUCUGCAGCGCACAGGAGCUAGUCGUACUGAAAAGAAUGAAGUUGGACUUGUCCAGGCGAGUUUCGGACAGUGCUGGGCUGCCCUGCUCUGAUCUCCUGGGUGUCUUCACCUCCUCUGGUUCCUAAGUCGGCUGCUGCACCAGCACCCAUCAAACUCUCCUGGAAGAGGAAGUGACAGCUCACCGGUAGCCUAGAAGGCCCCUGUGGGCAGAAGCAUGGACUUACUCCUCCUCAUGGAGAUGCGGCUGAGCCAUAUUUCCUUGGCACCUCUCUGGAACCUUCGACAACCACCACCUCAGACACUAACCAGACUUUAGGUCCAUUCCUUUCAUGGCUAAAAUGAGACAGUCCACAAUGUUGAUUUUAUUUGUAGGGGAUGUCAGGAUUCCAGAAAAGCAGACUUGGAAAGCAACAAAACGUUAACUUGCAGCUCACUGAGGCCCUUACACUUGUUCUGGGCACCUCUGUAUGUUAAAAGAAGUCCAAUAUCUUUAGCUGCUGGUUAUAGGUGGCCAUAUGUUUCUGCACAGAAAUGGGGCUCCCCUUGCUAGACUAAUUUUCUAAUUUUUCCUCAAGCUUCAUUGAUUCAUAUUCUUCUACUUGACCCUGACUGUCAGGACCAACAACACCAAAUAACACCAAAGUCUCUUGCUCCUGUCCUCAGAACCUCUCAGAGGCAUCCUCUGCCCUGUUGGAGCCAUUUUAUUUCAGGUUGAUCCUUAAUUAAAUUCAGCGAGAUGCAGGA